ensembl:lncRNA novel transcript
AUGUGGUGACCUUGAAGAAGAACUCAAGAAUGUUACUAACAAUCUGAAAUCUCUGGAGGCUGCGUCUGAAAAGUAUUCUGAAAAGGAGGACAAAUGUGAAGAAGAAAUUAAACUUCUGUGUGACAAACUGAAAGAGGCUGAGACCCGUGCUGAAUUUGCAGAGAGAACGGUUGCAAAACUGGAAAAGACAAUUGAUGACCUGGAAGAGAAACUUGCCCAGGCCAAAGAAGAGAACGUGGGCUUACAUCAGACACUGGAUCAGACACUAAACGAGCUUAACUGUAUAUAAGCAAAACAGAAGAGUCUUGUUCCAACAGAAACUCCGGAGCUCCGUGGGUCUUUCUCUUCUCUUAAUUAAGAAAGAAGAAGAAAGGCAUUCCAUCUAUAAGUGGAAACGCUACUCUCACGGCAUUCAUGUACCAGCUAUUGUCUAAGGUCUGACAGUUUCAGUGACUUAUCCAGAUGUUUUGUCUACAUGAUACCAGCCUCAGAGAUAUUUGCCAACAUUAGUAUAAUUGAAUACCUCAUUCGGUUUUGCAUCUUCUCAUUUUCUUUCACCAUGUUGACACCGUACUACUUCUUGUCCUCUCUCUCCCAGCUACAGGGGGAUAAAGCACCAAUGAACACACAAUCCAGCCUCUUAACCUCUCUCCAGCACCUAGCUACUUCAAGUUAGAACUUCAAAUUUGAACCAAGGAAAACAAUGUUCUGUGAAUCUUUUUCUCCCUGGAAAAAUAGGAGAGAAUGAAGUUCUUUUCUGUCUAUAGUUCGCGACAGCUAGGGGAUGAUGAAAGUUGCAUGCAUUGUUUUUCAUAAUGUGUGAUUUAUUCCUUAAGAAAAAGUCACUCAGAUGAUUCUUGGUGCUCAAGAUGUUGAAAUGUUCUGACUCUUCUCUAAUACAACAAUAGUAAAGUGAAUUCAACAGCCUACUGCUCACUUUAAAACACCGGGGUACCUCUGUGCUUCCCAGAUAUUAUCGUUUCCCAUGGCAGGUUCUAAACUGGUAGUCUGAAGCCUAGCUCUGGUCUGCAGACAUGUUUUAUUUGGACUCCACAGUAUUUUUACAAACUUUGAGCCAAAAUGUAAAAAUAGGGAGAUUUCACACCAAAAAAAUCAGAGUCACUUCACUUUAAUGAGAAUAUGUGACAAGACUAGACUCUCGUGUGGCAUGGAUCCUUCUUCGUAUGACAGUGAGCAGCUGGAACUGGCUAGUGACUACCCUAAGAUGCCACAGUUUCCACCGUUCCCUACCAUUGACCUGACUUUGGGGCUGAGUUUUCAUUUACUGAUCUUGGGGCCAGUUUUCAUUUACUGAUCUUUGUACUUGCUAUGUUAUUUAUCUCAAAGUAAAGAAAUAUUUAUCUGGGCCCAUGUCUUUAUCACGGGAAAGAUAUCAGGCCAGGCACGAUGACUCAUGCCUGUAAUCCCAGCGUGGAGACCCAGGCAGGCAGAUCACUUGAGGUCAGGAGUUCGAGACCAGCCUAGGCAACAUGGCGAACCCCUGUCUCUAUUAAAAAUAUAAAAAUUAGCCAGGAGUGGUGGUGCAUGCUUGCAAUCUCAGCUAUUUGGGAGGCUGAGGCAGGGAAAUCACUUGAACUCGGGAGGCGGAGGUUGCAGUGAGCCGCAAUCGUGCCACUGCACUCCAGCCUGAGCAACAGAGUGAGACUUUGUCUCAAAAAAAAAAAAAAAAAAAAAAAACAA